GAUGAACGCUAGCUUCAGGCUUAACACAUGCAAGUCGAGUGACCGGCGCACGGGUGAGUAACACGUAUCCAACCUGCCCUUUACUCGGUGAUAGCCUUUCGAAAGAAAGAUUAAUACCCGAUAUAAAGGAUGGGGAUGCGUUCGAUUAGGUUGUUGGUGAGGUAACGGCUCACCAAGCCUUCGAUGGUUAGGGGUUCUGAGAGGAAGGUCACCCACAUUGGAACUGAGACACGGACCAAACUGCGACGGGAGGCAGCAGUGAGGAAAAUUAGGCAAAGGGCGCUAGCCUGAACCAGCAAAGUAGCGUGAAGGAUGAAGGAUUAUGGGUCGUAAACAUCUUUUAUAGAAGAAUAUGUAUUAUAUGAAUAAGGAACGGCUAACUCCGUGCCAGCAGCCGCGGUAAUUC
rnacentral:rRNA from 1 species